GGGAGAGAAAGAGGAGAGACGAGCGGUGAGCGAUGAGAGAGAAAGCUGAGGCUGGCAGGGGAAGACUUGUGGAGGGAUGGACAGGCACGUGAGUGGAACCCCUGCUCUCAACCAGGAAGUGUUGAAAAAAAAAACGACCAACGCCCAUCCUAAUUCCCUGGACAAUGUGGAAGGAAAUGUUAAAAGAAGUUAUUCAGAGAGGAGGAAAAUGGUAUAGAUCGAAACAUGGAUCUACAUGAAGAAAGGGAGAGAGCCUCAGUGACUGAACAAGUGAAGGUUGAAGAUGCUGGACUGCACAAUGCUGCUGUCAUGAAGGCAAUCAGAAAUGGCAAAUAGAUAUCCACCUUUGGAUUGAUCAUCUGAGAGUACUGGGAAAUCAUGGACAGGAGGCAGGAGUGAAGUGAAGAAGGUAGAAGUGGGACAAGCUGCUCAGCAGCACGGGAGUCACCUGCUGGCCCCUCUCCUUGGCCAAAUCCAACUGGAAGCCAGCCAUCUGGGAGUUCUUGGGAUACGAUUCAUGGAGACCAGCCUACCUGAUACAGAGAAGGGCAGGAAACAGUGAAGAAUGGAUCUGGGUGAGGGAAUUGAGAAAGACUGGCACAUUUUAUGCCUUUUGUCACAUAGCAUUCAUUCUUACUUAGAAGAUGAAAAAAUUGUCACCCCAACACUGAAGAGACACAGAAUCUCAUCAACUAUCAGAUAGUAAUGGAAUGAUGUAUUCAGUUAUAACUUCAACUGAAAUUUAAAUUGUAACAUUCUCCAUCAUCACAACCUUUCACAGAAGAUAUUAAGGAAAGAGGAGAAAAAUAAUCAAUCAACACAAAAUAUGCAUAAUGACUACGGUACCUGGCUCUGUCUCCCAUUACUAGACCAAAGAUUGUUGUAUUUUCUUUCUUCCAGCAUCCAUUAAAUAUUCUCCUUAUACUCUGCUA